ACCGAGUACUAUAACUCAUAACCCUUUGUGAACCUUCAUACCUGUUGCUUCGGCGGCGCGCCUCUCGGGGCGUGCCCGCCGGCAUUAUCAGAAUCUCUGUUCGAACCCGACGAUACUUCUGAGUGUUCUAAGCGAACUGUUAAAACUUUCAACAACGGAUCUCUUGGCUCCAGCAUCGAUGAAGAACGCAGCGAAACGCGAUAUGUAAUGUGAAUUGCAGAAUUCAGUGAAUCAUCGAAUCUUUGAACGCACAUGGCGCCUUCCAGUAUCCUGGGAGGCAUGCCUGUCCGAGCGUCGUUUCAACCCUCGAGCCCCCGUGGCCCGGCGUUGGGGACCUGCCCAGGCAGUCCCCGAAAACCAGUGGCGGACCCGACGGGCCCUUCCUUUGCGUAGUAACAUCUGCCUCGCAUCGGGAGCCCCCGGGCUAUCCGGCCUCUAAACCCCCCUCAAGCCCGCUCCGGCGGCACCAAGGUUGACCUCGGAUCAGGUAGGAAUACCCGCUGAACUUAAGC
rnacentral:misc_RNA from 1 species